rnacentral:rRNA from 1 species
GCUCACUGGUCGAGUGAUCCUGCGCCGAAGAUUUCCGGGGCUAAAACUUACUACCGAAGCUACGGCAUCAUUAUGAUGGGUAGGGGAGCUUCCCAUACGGGUUGAAGCAUGACCGUAAGGACAUGUGGACAGUAUGGGAGUGAGAAUGUUGGCAUGAGUAGCGAGAUGUGGGUGAGAAUCCCACAGGCCGUAAACCCAAGGUUUCCAGGGGAAGGUUCGUCCGCCCUGGGUUAGUCGGGACCUAAGCUGAGGCCGAAAGGCGUAGGUGAUGGACAACAGGUUGAUAUUCCUGUACUACCGAUAACCGUUUGAGAGAAGGGAUGACACAGUAGGAUAAGCUAAGCACACUGUUGGUUAUGUGUGCCCAAGCAUUGAGGCAGUCAAAGUAGGCAAAUCCGCUUUGAUAAUGCUGGGAUGUGAUGGGGAGCGAAAUUUAGUAGCGAAGUAGCUGAUUUCACACUGUCAAGAAAAGUCUCUAUCGAGGUUAAAGGUACCCGUACCGCAAACCGACACAGGUGGGUGAGGAGAGUAUCCUAAGGCCAGCGAGAGAACUGUUGUUAAGGAACUCGGCAAAAUGACCCCGUAACUUAGGGAUAAGGGGUGCCACCAUCAGGUGGCCGCAGAGAAUAGGCCCAAGCGACUGUUUACCAAAAACAUAGGUUUCUGCUAAGUCGCAAGACGAUGUAUAGGAGCUGACGCCUGCCCGGUGCUGGAAGGUUAAGGGGAUCUGUUAGAGCAAUCGAAGCAGUGAACUUAAGCCCCAGUAAACGGCGGCCGUAACUAUAACGGUCCUAAGGUAGCGAAAUUCCUUGUCGGGUAAGUUCCGACCCGCACGAAAGGCGUAACGAUUUGGGCACUGUCUCAACAACAGACUCGGUGAAAUUGUAAUUCCGGUGAAGAUGCCGGAUACCUGCGACAGGACGGAAAGACCCCAUGGAGCUUUACUGUAGCUUGACAUUGGGUCUUGGUACUACAUGUACAGGAUAGGUGGGAGGCUUUGAAACCAGGACGCCAGUUUUGGCGGAGCCAUCCUUGGGAUACCACCCUUGUAGUACUGGGACUCUAACCAUAGGCCAUGAAUCUGGUCUUGGGACACUGUCAGGUGGGCAGUUUGACUGGGGCGGUCGCCUCCCAAAAGGUAACGGAGGCGCUCAAAGGUUCUCUCAGUACGGUCGGAAAUCGUACGUAGAGUGUAAAGGCAAAAGAGAGCUUGAUUGCAAGACAUACAGGUCGAGCAAGGAUGAAAAUCGGACUUAGUGAUCCGGUGGUUCUGCGUGGAAGGGCCAUCGCUCAACGGAUAAAAGCUACCCUGGGGAUAACAGGCUUAUCUCCCCCAAGAGUCCACAUCGACGGGGAGGUUUGGCACCUCGAUGUCGGCUCAUCACAUCCUGGGGCUGUAGUAGGUCCCAAGGGUUGGGCUGUUCGCCCAUUAAAGUGGUACGCGAGCUGGGUUCAGAACGUCGUGAGACAGUUCGGUCCCUAUCCGUCGCAGGCGUAGGAAAUUUGAGAAGACCUGUCCUUAGUACGAGAGGACCGGGAUGGACGUACCUCUGGUGUACCAGUUGUCCUGCCAAGGGCAUGGCUGGGUAGCUAUGUACGGAAUGGAUAAGCGCUGAAAGCAUCUAAGCGCGAAGCCAACUUCAAGAUAAGAUUUCCCACCGCAAGGGUAAGACCCCAGAAAGACUAUCUGGUUGAUAGGUCGAAGGUGUAAGUGCAGCAAUGUAUUUAGCUUAUCGAUACUAAUAGGUCGAGGACUUGACCAA